UACGUAGGGUGCAAGCGUUAAUCGGAAUUACUGGGCGUAAAGCGUGCGCAGGCGGUGAUGUAAGACAGAUGUGAAAUCCCCGGGCUCAACCUGGGAACUGCAUUUGUGACUGCAUCGCUGGAGUGCGGCAGAGGGGGAUGGAAUUCCGCGUGUAGCAGUGAAAUGCGUAGAUAUGCGGAGGAACACCGAUGGCGAAGGCAAUCCCCUGGGCCUGCACUGACGCUCAUGCACGAAGCGUGGGAGCG
rnacentral:rRNA from 1 species